rnacentral:rRNA from 1 species
UACGAAGGGGGCUAGCGUUGCUCGGAAUCACUGGGCGUAAAGGGUGCGUAGGCGGGUUUUUAAGUCAGGGGUGAAAUCCUGGAGCUAAACUCCAGAACUGCCUUUGAUACUGAAGAUCUUGAGUCCGGGAGAGGUGAGUGGAACUGCGAGUGUAGAGGUGAAAUUCGUAGAUAUUCGCAAGAACACCAGUGGCGAAGGCGGCUCACUGGCCCGGUACUGACGCUGAGGCACGAAAGCGUGGGGAGCAAACAGG